rnacentral:rRNA from 1 species
CAGGCGGCUGCUACCAUGCAGUCGAACGUGAUCCGCCCUUCGGGGUGGUGAAAGUGGCGCACGGGUGAGUAACGCGUGGAUAAUCUGCCCGAGGAUUUGGGAUAACAUCUCGAAAGGGGUGCUAAUACCGAAUAAGCCCACGGGGUCUACGGAUCUUGCGGGAAAAGGGGGGGACCUUCGGGCCUCCUGUCCUUGGAUGAGUCUGCGUACCAUUAGCUAGUUGGUGGGGUAAUGGCCUACCAAGGCGACGAUGGUUAGCUGGUCUGAGAGGAUGAUCAGCCACACUGGAACUGAGACACGGUCCAGACUCCUACGGGAGGCAGCAGUGGGGAAUUUUGCGCAAUGGGGGAAACCCUGACGCAGCAACGCCGCGUGGGUGAUGAAGGCCUUCGGGUCGUAAAGCUCUGUCUGGAGGGAAGAAAUGAUUGGGAGCUAAUACCUCUUGAUCUUGACGGUACCUCUGAAGGAAGCACCGGCUAACUCCGUGCCAGCAGCCGCGGUAAUACGGAGGGUGCAAGCGUUGUUCGGAAUUAUUGGGCGUAAAGCGCGUGUAGGCGGUCUUUUAAGUCUGAUGUGAAAGCCCCGGGCUCAACCUGGGAAGUGCAUUGGAAACUGGGAGGCUUGAGUACGGGAGAGGAGAGUGGAAUUCCUAGUGUAGGAGUGAAAUCCGUAGAUAUUAGGAGGAACACCGGUGGCGAAGGCGGCUCUCUGGACCGAUACUGACGCUGAGACGCGAAAGCGUGGGUAGCAAACAGGAUUAGAUACCCUGGUAGUCCACGCCGUAAACGAUGAGUACUAGGUGUUGCGGGUAUUGACCCCU